rnacentral:rRNA from 1 species
UACGUAGGGGGCGAGCGUUGUCCGGAUUCAUUGGGCGUAAAGAGCUCGUAGGCGGUUUGGCAAGUCGGGUGUGAAAACUCCAGGCUCAACCUGGAGAUGCCAUCUGAUACUGCCAUGACUUGAGUCUGGUAGGGGAGCACGGAAUUCCUGGUGUAGCGGUGAAAUGCGCAGAUAUCAGGAGGAACACCGGUGGCGAAGGCGGUGCUCUGGGCCAGUACUGACGCUGAGGAGCGAAAGCGUGGGGAGCAAACAGG